rnacentral:rRNA from 1 species
GAUGAACGCUAGCUACAGGCUUAACACAUGCAAGUCGAGGGGCAUCAGGAAGAAAGCUUGCUUUCUUUGCUGGCGACCGGCGCACGGGUGAGUAACACGUAUCCAACCUGCCCUUUACUCGGGGAUAGCCUUUCGAAAGAAAGAUUAAUACCCGAUAGCAUAAUGAUUCCGCAUGGUUUCAUUAUUAAAGGAUUCCGGUAAAGGAUGGGGAUGCGUUCCAUUAGGUUGUUGGUGAGGUAACGGCUCACCAAGCCUUCGAUGGAUAGGGGUUCUGAGAGGAAGGUCCCCCACAUUGGAACUGAGACACGGUCCAAACUCCUACGGGAGGCAGCAGUGAGGAAUAUUGGUCAAUGGGCGGUAGCCUGAACCAGCCAAGUAGCGUGAAGGAUGAAGGCUCUAUGGGUCGUAAACUUCUUUUAUAUAAGAAUAAAGUGCAGUAUGUAUACUGUUUUGUAUGUAUUAUAUGAAUAAGGAUCGGCUAACUCCGUGCCAGCAGCCGCGGUAAUACGGAGGAUCCGAGCGUUAUCCGGAUUUAUUGGGUUUAAAGGGAGCGUAGGUGGACUGGUAAGUCAGUUGUGAAAGUUUGCGGCUCAACCGUAAAAUUGCAGUUGAUACUGCCAGUCUUGAGUACAGUAGAGGUGGGCGGAAUUCGUGGUGUAGCGGUGAAAUGCUUAGAUAUCACGAAGAACUCCGAUUGCGAAGGCAGCUCACUGGACUGCAACUGACACUGAUGCUCGAAAGUGUGGGUAUCAAACAGGAUUAGAUACCCUGGUAGUCCACACAGUAAACGAUGAAUACUCGCUGUUUGCGAUAUACAGUAAGCGGCCAAGCGAAAGCAUUAAGUAUUCCACCUGGGGAGUACGCCGGCAACGGUGAAACUCAAAGGAAUUGACGGGGGCCCGCACAAGCGGAGGAACAUGUGGUUUAAUUCGAUGAUACGCGAGGAACCUUACCCGGGCUUAAAUUGCAGUGGAAUGAUGUGGAAACAUGUCAGUGAGCAAUCACCGCUGUGAAGGUGCUGCAUGGUUGUCGUCAGCUCGUGCCGUGAGGUGUCGGCUUAAGUGCCAUAACGAGCGCAACCCUUAUCUUUAGUUACUAACAGGUCAUGCUGAGGACUCUAGAGAGACUGCCGUCGUAAGAUGUGAGGAAGGUGGGGAUGACGUCAAAUCAGCACGGCCCUUACGUCCGGGGCUACACACGUGUUACAAUGGGGGGUACAGAAGGCAGCUAGCGGGUGACCGUAUGCUAAUCCCAAAAGCCUCUCUCAGUUCGGAUCGAAGUCUGCAACCCGACUUCGUGAAGCUGGAUUCGCUAGUAAUCGCGCAUCAGCCACGGCGCGGUGAAUACGUUCCCGGGCCU